GAACGGCAGCACGGGGGCAACCCUGGUGGCGAGUGGCGAACGGGUGAGCAAUACAUCGGAACGUGUCCUGGAGUGGGGGAUAGCCCGGCGAAAGCCGGAUUAAUACCGCAUACGCUCUGUGGAGGAAAGCGGGGGAUCUUCGGACCUCGCGCUCAAGGGGCGGCCGAUGGCAGAUUAGGUAGUGGGUGGGGUAAAGGCCUACCAAGCCGACGAUCUGUAGCUGGUCUGAGAGGACGACCAGCCACACUGGGACUGAGACACGGCCCAGACUCAUACGGGAGGCAGCAGUGGGGAAUAUUGGACAAUGGGCGCAAGCCUGAUCCAGCCAUGCCGCGUGGGUGAUGAAGGCCAUAGGGUUGUAAAGCCCUUUCGGCGGGGAAGAUAAUGACGGUACCCGCAGAAGAAGCCCCGGCUAACUUCGUG
rnacentral:rRNA from 1 species